AUGAUCCUGUGGCUAAACCUGGUGUCCUUAGUAGUAGUCCUCAGAGGUGUCCAGUCUGAGGUCCAGUUGGUGGAGUCUGGAGGGGACGUGAGAAGGCCUGGAGAGUCCCUCCGCCUCUCCUGCCAAGCCUCUGGCUUCGACUUCAGCAGCCAUUGGAUGAGUUGGGUGAGACAGGCUCCAGGAAAAGGACUCGAAUGGGUGGCACUCAUAUGGCCAAAUUCUGGUACUCACUACUCUGCCAAAGUCAAGGGACGCUUCACCAUCUCCAGGGACAACUCCAAAAGCCAAGUCUAUCUGCAAAUGAACAGUCUGAAGCCGGAGGACACAGCAGUCUAUUACUGUGCAGGAGACACAGUGAGAGGAAGUGAGUCUGAAGCCUGGCAAGAACCUUCCCUUGGUCAGAGCUACUAUGCAAGUUAG